rnacentral:rRNA from 1 species
GACGAACGCUGGCGGCGUGCUUAACACAUGCAAGUCGAACGGAAAGGCCCUGCUUUUCUGGGGUGCUCGAAUUGCGAACGGGUGAGUAACACGUGAGUAACCUGCCCUUGACUUUGGGAUAACUUCAGGAAACUUAGGCUAAUACCGGAUAGGAGCUCCUGCUGCAUGGUGGGGGCUGGAAAGUUUCGGCGGUUGGGGAUGGACUCGCACAUUAACAGCUUGUUGGUGGGGUAGUGGAUUACCAAGGCUUUGACGGGUAGCCGGCCUGUGAGGGUGACCGGCCACAUUGGGACAGAGAUGCGGCCCGGCCUGCAUCGGGAGGAAGGAGUGGGGAAUAGUGCACUAUAGGCUGAAGCCUGACGCAGCAACGCCGCGUGCGGGAUGACAGCAUUCGGGUUGUAAUGCGCUUUCGCCUGGGACGAAGCGUGAGUGACGGUAAUGGAUAAAGAAGCACCGGCUAACUACGUG